UACGUAGGGUGCGAGCGUUAAUCGGAAUUACUGGGCGUAAAGUGUGCGCAGGCGGCAGAGCAAGUCGAGUGUGAAAGCCCCCGGGCUUAACUUGGGAAUUGCGCUCGAAACUACUUUGCUGGAGUGUGGCAGAGGAAGGUGGAAUUCACGUGUAGCGGUGAAAUGCGUAGAGAAUGUGGAGGAACACCAAUGGCGAAGGCAGCCAUUCUGGGC
rnacentral:rRNA from 1 species